CCUUCUUCUUCUUCCAGAUGGGGGGAGAUGGGGAAAUUCACACAAAUCUGGUGUUGUGAGUGUUCCUGCAACAAGGUACCAUGGAACAGGACCUCUUUUCAGUCCAGAAAUACAAGACUUGAGAUUCUAGGCUUACUGACCUUGCACUAAGACUGACAACCAGCCAGCUAAUUCUGAUUGACCAGUAUCAUCUUCUCAAAGAAAUGAUGAUUUCAAGACCCUUUUUCUCCAGCUACUGAGCUCAGAAUCAGUCAAAAGCUACUGAAAGCUACUGGCCUGGCUUAGCUCAAAUUUAUCCUCUUGCUCAAGCCCUGGCCGUUUGUGACAGAGCUGACUGUGAGCUGUGGGUUUGUUUGCCCUGCCAUCAAUCUAACCCGAGCUUCCUGCUGCUCCUUGAUGGAGUUUUGUCACUUGCCUGUGACAUUAGGCUGUAAACUGCAGGGUAACCAGCUCUUAAAGCCACAAGAUACUCACACUAAAUCGCACAGAUUAUGCUCCUGCUGCGGGGGAAUUUCCAGGUCAGAGGCUAACCACCCUUUCAACGCCUGUUUUUUGCACCGAGAGUGUAAAAAGUCAAGCUGGAAACGUGGUGCAUAAGGGCAGCAGUUCGCAGCUCUCCUUAAAUGAGUCGUCACUUCCUCAUGUGUAUUUUCAGCUACUCAGCAGAGCUGGUGAAGUGUCUCGAAUGCUUCGUUUCUGCCAGUCAGAAAGAGAGAAUACACUAAGAUGCCUUUUAAGGACAUUCAAGAAUAUACUGGUGUAAAAAAAAAAAAGAGGAAAAA